AUGCCUCAGUUUCCUCUUCAGUGCAGUUUCCUCUCCCCCUCACAGUGCAAACAGACUGGAAAAGAUAUUACCAUAGAGACUUUAGAAUGUCUACAAGUGCAAGAAUUCUUUUUACAGGACAUUUCUCCUUUAGUCUAUGGCAACGAAUGCAUAUCCUCAUCACUUUCAAAGGCAGUGUUGGCUGGACUCAGAAUCAAGACAAGAGUGAUCAGGGUACUUCAUCUCCCUGCUGCAGCCCAGCAGAUUGUAAACUCUCUAAACAGUAACGACUGUCAAUCUGUUCCAUGGGAUGCCAAUGUGCACAGUAGGAGGGAAGUAGAGCACCUCUUAUCUACAAGCAAUACGUACUGUGCAGGCAUUUCACCUCUUUAUUCUUCUGUAAUCACUGCAACCACCUAUGUUCACAGAUGUCAGUAUGGAAAUUCAUAAAGGAUUUAAAGUGAAAUUUGUGGGGAAGAGGAAGCUACAGCUCAUAUUUCAAGGACUUGGAGCUGGAAGAAGACAUUCACUGUUUCCCACCCUUUUCCCCAGCAGAAACCAUCUCUAUCUACCUCCCAGAUCCUAUUUAUUGUAUUUAUUAUCUGUGAUGCACUUCACACACUAUAUGUAGUAGAGUUCCCUAAGAUUCCCUUUAAUUCAUUUUAAUAACCCAUUUAUUGAGC
rnacentral:lncRNA from 1 species